rnacentral:lncRNA from 10 species
UUCUGGUGCAUUGGCUUCUAGCCAGCAGAGAGCUGCCUAUGUUACUCUCCUGCACUCCUCAGUGUUAAAUAAUGUGAGGAGGAGCUGCCUGCAGUCUGGCCCGGUUGGAUUGCAUGUCAGAAAGAUGGAUUGCAUCAGAUCUAAGAGAUUAGGAUGUAGACACACAUGAGGAAAAACCAUGUGAAGACAAAGGGAGAAGAUGGCCAUCUAGAAGCCAAAGAGAGAGGCCUGAGAAGAAAUCAACCCUGAAAACACCCUGAUUCUGAACUUCUAUCUUCCAGAACUGUGAGAAAAUAAAUGUAUGUUGUUUAAGCUACUCAGAUUAUGGUGCUGUGUUAUGGUAACCUGCUAUGGUUUGAAUGUGUCUCCUAAACUUUAUUUGUUGGAACCUAAAUCCCCAAAUUCAUAUGUUUAUGGCAUUUGGAGGUGAGGCAUUGAGAGAAAAUUAGGAUGAGAUAAAGUCAUCAAGUUAUGCCUCCAUUAUGGGACUGGUGGCUUUAUAAAGAGAAGAAAAAAGACCUGAGCUGACAUACUGUUGCCCCCCUGACAGGUAAUCCCCUCUAUCUUUUUAUGAUGCAAUAAGAAGGCCCUCGCCAGAUGUGGCCCCUCAAGCGUGGACUUCCCAGCCUCCAGAACUGGAAGAAAUAAAUUUCUUUUUAAAAUAAAUUACUAGUCUGUGGUAUUCUGUUAAUAGCAAUAGAAAAUGGAUUAAGACAGAGCUUUAGUUGGGCCAGGCAUGGUGGCUCACCCCUGUAAUCCCAGCACUUCGGGAGGCC